rnacentral:rRNA from 1 species
AACGAACGCUGGCGGCAUGCCUAACACAUGCAAGUCGAACGAGAUCUUCGGGUCUAGUGGCGCACGGGUGCGUAACGCGUGGGAAUCUGCCCUUUGGUUCGGAAUAACAGUUGGAAACGACUGCUAAUACCGGAUGAUGACGAAAGUCCAAAGAUUUAUCGCCAGAGGAUGAGCCCGCGUAGGAUUAGCUAGUUGGUGUGGUAAAGGCGCACCAAGGCGACGAUCCUUAGCUGGUCUGAGAGGAUGAUCAGCCACACUGGGACUGAGACACGGCCCAGACUCCUACGGGAGGCAGCAGUGGGGAAUAUUGGACAAUGGGCGAGAGCCUGAUCCAGCAAUGCCGCGUGAGUGAUGAAGGCCUUAGGGUUGUAAAGCUCUUUUACCCGGGAUGAUAAUGACAGUACCGGGAGAAUAAGCUCCGGCUAACUUCGUGCCAGCAGCCGCCGUAA